UCCUUAUUUUGUGAUAAGGACGACACCCACGGACUCUUCCAGAUUAUCAACACCAGCUGCAGUCCCUCUUUCGCUCUCCCAAAGAUGAACGAUACAGUCAACUCGAUCAUCCCAAAAUCUUUUUCAGAUCCAUCAAUUGUAUCUUACCGGAACAAAAAAGAAAAAAUUAACUCUAUCCAAAUCUCUGUCCUCGAGGUAAAAAAUGGUGCAAACUGUUCGUCCUGCUGUCGGUUUUGCUCUUAGAUGGAGACGCACCGUCAAACGCAGUUUCAGGGGCAACGAUAGCUUUGCUUCGGAAUCUUGAUCAUCGCAUGUCAAGCUAUUCAUCUGUUAUACGAAAAUCCGAGAUAUAGGAUGCAGAGGAAUGCUUGAAACUGUUUUCUAUGGACGGGGCGACUAAAUUUAAUUAAAUGACCCUUGCCAAUGUGAACAACUUCAAGAGGCUCUUAAAGAGCCAAUGGAACAGAUGAGUUUUGCAGGCAAUGGAAGUCUUGCUUUAUAUA